rnacentral:misc_RNA from 1 species
GAAAUGCGAUACGUAGUGUGAAUUGCAGAAUCGUGAAUCAUCGAGUCUUUGAACGCAUCUUGCGCCCUUUGGGGCAUGCCUGUUUGAGAACCACACCACCUCGCGUGCGGCGCUGGGCGCUUUCGACCGAAUCGCCUCAAAGACACCAGCCGGGAGUGCAGAAGCAGCCUCUCGUCUCACACACGGUCUCAAAUCAGGCAGGAGGACCCGCUGAACUUAA